CCCAAAACGUGUGAGAUGAGAUGGGUUUGCGAAUCAAGCAGAGAAGAGGAGAAGUGGGAUAGUGAAACUCAAACAACCUGGUUUGGGCAAUUGCCAUCUCAAAACCUCUCUCUGUCUCCCCUUCCCUCCGUCGCUUGGCAGUGGCACGGUUCAUUGGCUCCAAUCCAAUCCAACCAGCUGCUGCGCUGAACUCAGCCUUUACUUCUUUGCCACUGGUAAGUUAUUAUUUACCCUCUCUUUCUGUUUGGUUGCUGGGAAAGGUUUGGAAAAAGUGCAGCAGAGUUGACAAAUUUGUAAAUUAACCGAUUUGUUUAGUUUGCUCACUUGCUUGUUAAUACGAAUAAAGUCCGAAAAAAUGGUGAAAAAGAAAACUGAAACUUACACUGAAUCUACCCAAAUAAAUCUUGUGAUCCUUAUAAAUCUUAGGGUGCGUUUGGUAUUCUUUCACCGGAAAACUGUUUGAUUUUCAUUUCAAUUCUGAGCUCAUCGUCGUCUCCAUUUUCAUUCUCUUCCGUGUUCUUUAAAACCCAAUUACCAUGGUGUGGGGUCAAUGAUUGGCGCUCACAUGGGACCACUGUUGACUGGCUGCUUGUCCCUUUAGAAACAGAUUACAGUUCUAAUCUCGUGAAUAUAAGCUGGGGGAGGAUGACCUUUCUGUAUUUGGUUUAAUGGCAAGUGGGAAAAGCGGGGCUUUUUUUUUUCAAUGCUGGGUAUAGCUGUUUCUGGAAAUGCCGCAAUAGAGUGCUUGGAGUUCGAUUGGCCCUGUAUUUCCAUUGGUCUUCCUUGUAAAUAUUAGUCAUGAUCUGUAUUUGGUAUUGAAUUGCUGAAUAGCUGUAUGAUGUUUGAGUGUUCUUUUUUUUUUCUUUGUUUUCUUUUAAACCAAAUAGGUUUAAGAACGGUUUUCAGAUUAUUAUUUUUUGGUGUAAAUUCGGAAUACAACCCAAAUUUUUGGAAUGGAUCGUAACUUUUGAAUCACAAACCAAUCAAGCCCUUACUUCUCUUAGAUUGUCCGGUUGGUUUGUUCAAUAUUCAAUUGUGUUAGAUUUUUCGGUCAAAAGAUAGAUGCAUAUGUAAAUCUCCGCGAAGCUCAGUGCUACAAUCAUCUCUUGCUACUGAAUUUUUUAUUGCUGGAAUCUAUAUUUUGUUUUUUGUUUUUGUGUUUCAUUUAUAUAUGGUUUUGUUAAGUUAUAUUUGUUUGGAUGCAUCUUAACCUCCAACUUAUGCUUACUGUUUGUAGAUUCUCGAGCCAUGAAUUGGGUUCAACGAAAGAUUUAUCUUUACAAUGUCACUUUUGGGCUCUAUAUGUUGGAUUGGUGGGAGCGUUAUCUCUUCAGUAUCCUAUGUUAUGCCUUUUUUUCUUCAAUAUGCUUGACAUGUGUCCUUUUUAAGUUUAGAGCGUAAGCUUAUAUCCAUGAUCAUGUAGAGAUGGAGUUUAUAAUUUCAAUUUUCAAGUGGUUGCAUGACACUUACAUUUAUUCAAUUAGAAAAAAGAAGCAUUUUGCUUGAUCUUAUUAUAAACCUUUCUUGCUGUUAUGAUUUGAAAAGUUGCCUCUUAUUUUGCAAUAUCUCCGAUCACCAUAUGCUAAAACCUGAAGUUUUUCUUGAGCUUGUUUACUGGUUCCUACCAUAUUGCCAUAUAUAAGUUUCAUUAAAAUUUGUAUUUUUGGUUAUCAUGUUUCUGGUUCAGUCUUAUGACUUAAUGAAUAGGAGGGGAAAUGCAUGUUGAGGAAAUGUUAUAUUUAGGAUAUAAGAUUUUACCUACAGCUCUCACCAUUCUCGAUCAAAUUUAAUAUGAAGUUCUCUCCCUUCCUCUAUGCUGUUACAUUGCGCUUGUGAAUUCCUAAAUCUUGACAGAUACUUUGGUCGUUGUGUUGAUGUGGUUCAUUUUUUACAAUGGCUCACGAUAUGUAACGGAGUUUUGCAAGAGGUAACAUUCUAACCUUUUUCUCUUGUUGGAUAUCAUAAGUUGUAGCAUCUUAUCGUUAUGUUAUAUUGGAAUUUCGUAAUAUGUUCUUUGCUAUGAUGUGUUUGGAUGUAAUGGUAGGCCAAGGCCAGUAGAUAAUGUGGAAUUCGGCUGCCAAAUAAAUCAGUUUACAACUCUUGGUUUAGCCUCCGUUCCUUCGGGAAAAUAGAUGAGUUGUAGCAUUAAUGUUCUUAAGACUAGUUCAGAUGUUGACUACCUAUUUUGGCAUAACUGAACUGCCUUCUUCAGUGCACCCACUGUACCCUCUUUCAUAAUGAGUGGUUUCUUGCAUGCUUGAAUAGGUUGCUAUAGCUGUGUUUCAUAAUGUGAGGUUUCAUGUUACAAAAAUGAAAGCACUAUAAACACAACAUACAAACAUUUUGAAGGGUUUACAUAACCUGUCAUCAAAUAAUUUGGAUGCAUCCUUGUGGUCUUCACUUACUGUUCUUGAAUUGGGGCAAUUUAAACUAGACAAACAGUGAGGUUUUCUCUAGCCUUUUUCAGAUCUCUUCCCGUUUGUUUUCUUUGGGGCAUUUAGAAACAUACACAGAACUUUGGAAGGUGAAAUUGCUUAUGGAACUCCAAAAAGACUUGCCAAUUUUGCAGAGGCUCCUUUUGAGUUAUUAGAGAUACCCAAGUAUUUGUCCGGAGUGUCAACUAUAUCUAUAUCCUAGAUUAUACUCUAAACCUUUGGGAUGGAUUUUGGACUUUUUUUUAUCAGUCAAAGAUUUUGGACAUAAAAAUGAAAAAAACAAAAAACAAAAAAUAUAACAAAUCUUUUGGUGCGAUAUGUCUUUGUAUUGGUAUGUUCUUCCCACUGAAGCAAUGCAAAAUUUACUUUUAUGCAAUUUAAUGUUCUUUCAGCCAGUCUACCAGGUGUUUAUGGAUUGUCUACAGUUGGACUUCAAGAUUAAAAUGUAGUUUUAACUUUUCCUUCAAAUAUAAUUUCAGGCAUCUAUGGUGACGCGUAGAGCUAGCACCAACCCAGAAGGUUCAAAUGUAAUGAUUGAAUGAAGAUUUGAAUUCAGCUGCAGCAUGUAUUACACUCAGUAUUUAUAUUUGACUUGUGAAAAUUGUUGAUUUUGUGACAGCAAUUGUGUAUGUACUGCCCUUUUUGUACACCAUCUUCUCAUGUUAUAGGCUUAUGUUUCUCUUAAUAUAUCUGAUAGCUUUGGCUUUUACCCCCCUAGCAAAAAAAUAAAGGAGAAAAGAUGAAAACAAAAAGUAUGUUAUAGAGAAACUUAUGGGAUGCCAUUUGGUCCUGGG
rnacentral:lncRNA from 1 species